rnacentral:lncRNA from 1 species
UUGAAAAGGUAUGUUACGAGAUGAAAUUCGAGGACUCAAAGGAUGGAGGAUGUGUCCUCAAGAUCACCAGUGAGUAUCAUUCAAAGGGUGAUGUUGUACCUAAAGAAGAGGAUAUUAAAGCAGCCCAGGAACAUACUAUGGGACUCUACAAGUCUUGUGCAGAUUACCUGAUUGCCAAUCCUCAUGUUUGUGUCUAAAUAGUUUCUAGUUAUAUUUCCGAUUUUAUGUAUUUCCUUAAUAAAGAACUUUGUUCUACUCUUCCAUUGAAGUUUGUUCUUAUCCAACUGUUAUCAAAAUUUACGGUACAACGUUAAGAUGAAAUUUUAGCGAAGUUCAGGUCUUUGCCUUAAUAAAGUGAAUUUGUUUGUUUAUUUCCAUCCACGUCUAUUUAUUCCUAUUUCAUGUCGAAUUUUCAAUGAAUAGUACCAAAUUUCAUCAAAUUACAUGUGAGGUUGCUAUUUAUAUCUGUUUCGUUGCACGUAAAUUUCAAUUGCAAAGAAAUUUUAUCAAGAUAUGGACUACUUAAAACUUCCGUUUGAUUGCAAAGAUGAAAAAGGCAAAUCAAUUCGAUAAAAGUUGGAAAAGAAAAACCACCAAAACCAUACGAAUGCAUUUUCCAUAGAAUUGGCCAAAAACAUGUUUUUAAAUGUUUGUAACCCAGAAUUCGAACUCCAUUUUCACUUUUGUAUCAAACAGCCAAAAUAGGAAAUGAAUUCUUCGGAUAUGACAUUUUCCAUGAAAUUGAAGUCAAUCAAACGGGGCCUAAGAUCCCUUUAAUAAUUACCUGAUCCAAGAAAUGAAUAAGGACAGAAAAAGUUGUGGAAUAGUUACAUCUAACUUUUGUACAUUGGAUUUUUUGCAUAAUUAAUUGAAGUUACUUUUAGAGUCCGUUUGAUUGUAAAAAUAGAAUUUGGAUGGGAAAAAAACGAAUUCUAGGGAGUUGAAUUGUCUAGAAAGUGUUUUACUGGAAAUUGUCAUCUAUUAUGUUUGAUUGGUAUAAUUUUUCAUGUGAAAAAUGUUGAAAUAAAAAUAUUUUUUGGUAUUCGUCUGACUUUGUUUUACAUGAAAAUUGUCAAUUAAAUGGAUAAAAUUUAUUGGUAUUAGGGAUAAAAUUUGUUUCCAUUGCAAACAAAAAAACAAGAAAAUCAUCUAUUUUUUAGUGUUCGUUUGACUUUGUUUUACAAGGAAAUUGUUAAUUAAAGAAUCUCUCUCUUUUUUUUUUUUUAACAAUUAGGGUUAGAAUUUGUUGUCAUUGUUGAAAAAAAAAAAAAAUCCAAUUCCCAGCUACGCAAGAGGGAUACAAAUUCCUCAUUUUUGUGGAAAAUAGGGUCAUGAGUCAGAAAACUAGAAAAUUAAUUGCCAGGAAUAUAUUGCCUAUCAAAAAUGGCAAAAAGUGAAAAAUGGCAUUUUCAAUUCCAACUUUCAUGAAAAAUAUAGCAUAUCAAAUGGAACCUUACCAUUAGCACAUGAUUAUAAUAGAAAUAGUUAAUCAUAUAAUCCUUUUAUUUUUUAUUUUUUAUUUUUAUUUUUAUGAUUAGACUAAUAAGGAUAAUGAUUUUAAGUCCGGCAUAAGUUCAAAAUCAAGAGUGAACCCCGAGCUGUGGAUUCCACAACAGAAAUAUUGCAUACUAUUUGAAAGUGUAACCACGCUAAUUAUUUUUAAUCGAUUUUGACAAAAUUUAAAGCUAAUUGCAUAUAAUUUGAAAGGAUAAUCAUGCUGAUUAUUCUUAAUCGAUUUUGGCAAAAUUUAUAAUCGUUUAUGGUAGUUAUGAAACAUAUGUUCAAGUUAUCUUUAGAGAAUGUAUGAUUAUAUGCUAACAUUUGACCCAAACUUUGCCAAUUUUUCAUUUUAGUCCCUAGCUUUCUUCAAAUGUACAAUUUGAUCCUUUUUUAUUUCUUUUCAGUCUUUAGCCUUUCUUAUUUACCCAAUUGAUCCGUAGCACUCUCCAAUCGUCGAUAUAAUGUCUGAAUCAUCUUUUGAGAGUUUGCAAUUUGGACCUCAGACUUUUAAUGUCUUUCAUUUUUGUCCAUUUUUCGCUAAUUUCCUCCAAUCAUUUUUGCAUCGAAUUUCUCCUAACAAAUGAAAUAUAUUCAAAAUUAAGCCAUUAUAGCAAUCAAUCUAAUUCAAUGGGUCAAAUAAAUAUUAAAAAAAAUACACUUAUCAAUGAGGCAAGACCGUUCAAAAAAAUAAGUGAAGACACGUGACAAAAAGAGAGAAGAGACGGAGUUUGCUAGGAGACUUGUGGAGUACAUUCGAAUCAAAGUGAUAACAUUUAAUUUAGUAAAUAAAAAAAAUACUGAAUAUGUCUGCAAAGAAAACACAACUAUGGGUAUAACAAAAGAUUUGCGUGGUGACAAUAUAGUCAUCCAUUGUUAAAACAAUCAAGGAAGAGUUUCGAAUAGGUUUUCAUCAAUUUCAAAUUUUUAUGCCGAAGGUUAUUCAUUUCAAACCAGAAGUAUUGCAUAGAACAUGACUGAUAAGUAUGCUGAUUGUUCUUAAUUGAUUUUAUGAGAAUUCUAAAUAGUUAAUGUUAUUUGAUCAGUUGCCGAAUAAAAAACUAAUUAAGAUUAGAAACAACUAAUUUAACAUGGUAAACUCAGUCUUACAGACUAAAAUUAAAUUCCACUUCAAAAAAGGAUACUUUCAUUUCAAACUUUUGAAACUAAUGUUGAUUGUUCAUUUACUAUCCGAUUUAGGUUGGCCUUACGUGCAGAAUUAUUCUAUUAAAAGCAACAAGUCACUUUUUAAUAGUUUCUAGAUGGUUAUUCAAACAGUCCAAUUAUCCUAAGCUAAAUUACCGUAUUUUCUACUUUGAAAACAAUAAAUAACACCAAUAUUGUUGACGGAGAAAUCUCAACUAAGUAAAAACUCCGGAACCAAACCAACUAUAGAUAAUGAGCUUUACAGUUAGAUGCUAUCUAGCCAACUCUACAAGACUUUUCGAUCUACGUCCUAUAAUCUCCAAGAUACCACUGUCUCCUCCAACUCCCCGAUCUUUUACAAUUGUCUUUUUCAAGUGGAAUUCCAAGAAUCUUCAAUUCUUGUGCUUUUUCUGCGCUUUUAGUCUAACCUUUCUCAAUCUUUUAAAUAAAGCUCAUUUUGUAUGUAUAUUUUGAUCUUUUAUUUUUUCUUCCCUAACUUUGAGUAUACAUCUUUCACAUUUAUCAAUGUUUUUAAAACUCGUCAAUUUUUACAUUUUAAGUGCGACUAAGAUGAUCCCUGUAGCGAGCUUUAGGCCAGUUAACUCAAGUCAACUGACCAUAGGCACAAGGUUUUGAGGCACCCCGCAUGCUUAAUUGCUCAAGUCAAAUAGGCUCUGAAGAAGAACAUAAGAUAUUGAACUUUGUAUUAUAAGGGGAUACACUUGAGCAAAUGUGCAUGUACCAGUGCAAACAUAAUGAAAAUGCACAUACAUGAAACUACCUAGAAAAGCAAAUGAACAAAUAUGAUGCAUGCAUAAAUCAAUGAGACAUAAUGAUAAACACAAGCAUGCACCAAAAUUACCUGGUCAGUUAGGUAAAGAGAAAUUUUACCUUUAAGAGCGCCGUGAUCUAUUUUAGAAUUUUCUAGGUCACUCUUUUUCACCCAAAUUUGCCUAGUGGGAGAACAAUUCCAAAACAAUUGUGUCACCAACUUGGUAAAUCGACUCACUCGAUCAGUGGAAUCAAAUCUAACCAACAAACUCCUGAUCUUUACUCCUAUUUAAGCUGUUGUUUCUAUGUCUGUUCAACAAUUGAUGACACCUAAGGCGUAUGUGUCCUAUCUAACUAUAGUGAAAGUAUGUAGGGAUAAACUAGGACUAAAGUUAUGUGGUCGUUGAUGUCUAUUCCUAGGUUGAUGGGUCCUACGCUGUCUAGUAGGCCUCUGUCCUACAAAUCCUUUAUUCUUUAGUUCAGGGUUAGGCGCAUGUUUAGACUGGUCAGUGCCAGGAAUAAAAGUGAUCUUUGAAAUACACACAGUAUUGUAAUAUUCUCUUUAAAACCUAGACUUCCCUAUUACCAGUCGAUUUUCUCAUGAGGAUGUUAUCUAGUUUCAACGAACCUCUAGAAAAGGCAAGAAACUUUGAAUACUCAAUGUUGCUCAGAAGGUUCUUAACCUGGAUUUUUAACUUCUCAUUCUCAAUAGUUGGCAUACUAGCUUUCUUAGAGGACUUCUCAAGCUUGCUAGUAAGAUUCAUAACCUGAGUGUCCAAGGAUUUAGUUACAGACUUUAACUUACUCUGGGAUAAGGUAGAUUCCUGAAGGUCAGUUAAAUGUUUCUCUCUCUCAGACUCAAGUUCAUUGACCUUAGCACACAAGGCUUUAUUCUUAGUCAUAAUCUUAAUAUACUCUUCAUACAUUUUAUCAUACACCUCAUGUAUAUCUUUCUCACUUUCAGAAUCUGAUUUCUCAUCACCAUCUACAUCCUUAACCUUUUCACUCUCCUGAUCAGAUCUACUCCUAAUCGUAGCAGUGAAGUUAAUGUAUUUCUUAUUCUCCUCAGGAAUGAUUUCUAAGAUAUCACAAACAUCUUUAGCAACCUCAUACAUUGACACUCGCCUAAACACUUUAGGUAAUAUUGCCAUAAAUAGAGCAUGUAAAGCUUAAUUAUUCCAAUUACACUUAUCUAAGUUUAUUUUAGUCCAAUUAGCAAUAGAAAUGGGAGUUAUUACAUUAUCAACUGUAGUACUAGCGGCAAUCCAACCAUUAACUACACUCAACCAAAUCCGUUCAUCCAUAGAUUUAAGGAAAGCUUUCAUCCUAACUUUCCAAUAUACAUAAUUACUGCCAUCAAAAUAUGGCCGGAUGGAUAGUGAACUACUCAUCUAAAUAAAUUAAGGCAAGGAAGGCUCUGAUACCACUUGAAAGUUCGUUUACUAUCCGAUUUAGUUUGACCUUACAUGUGGAAUUAUUCUAUUAAAAGCAACAAGUCACUUUUUAAUAGGUUCUAGAUGGUUAUUCAGAUAGUCAAAUUAUCCUAAAUUGAAUUACCACAGUUUGUACUAUGAAAGCAAUAAAUAACACUAAUAUUGUUGACGGAGAAACCUCAACUGGGUAAAAACUUCGAGACCAAGCCAGUUUUCUGUAAUAUCCCGAAAUUUCAUAGAAUAGAAUUUAAUUAUUGUGUGCUAUAUUUUAAUGUAAUGAAAGUUUAGGGACCAAAGUACAUAUAAAGUAAAUUUCAAUUUUUUUUGGGUUAAAAUGUAGAUGUUGACGGAGGGACAAUAAGUAUAUGAAUAUUAAGCUCGUUGGAUAGAUCGUAAUUAAUCAUGCAUAUUAGGCUCGAAAAAAAAGUUAAUUUGGAUUAGCGGAGCCCAAGUUAUCGAGAUCGAAAGGUAUAUGUUUAAAUUAUAUUUUAGUUUAGUGUUUAAUGAAUAUAUAUAUAUAUAUAUAUAUAGGGUGACAUGUAGCAGCCUUUGGAAUUGGAUAUUAAUUGAUUAACUAAACAUUUCAUUUAAAAAGAAUGCAAUAAUAAAAAUGAUAAGAUUGAUGGGAGGCCACGUGACUAGUGGUAAAAAACUAAUUCCCUUUUCUAUGUAAAAAGUGCCACGUGUAUGGUAAUGAAAUGAUUGUUGGUAGGUAUGGGUAGUUGGUACGAUUUGGGUUAGUAUUUUGUUACACAUACGGUUUCCUCAACUUUAUCCCAUUUACCCACUAUCUCCACACAUUUUCCCAUGGGUAUUACUGUAUAUGUAUAUGGAUGCACCACAGAGAAUAGAGACACACACAUAUAUGUGCAUUGCUCACAGUGAUAGUAGAGGUAGGAACCAAAAAGAAAAGAAAAGAAGGGAACGUGAUUUUUGUUUUAUCUUCCAAAAAUUAAAGCAUUUUAACAAGGUAUGAUAUCAAGGUGCAGUGUUUUAUGUCUUGUUUAAUUAUUUUAUUUACAUGUUGAUGAAUUUUUUACUCAUGAAAGUUAAAGUUAUGAUAUAAAAUGCUAUGAUAUGAAUGAUAUGGCCAUUUUCGGUACAAUGAUAUGAGUUUUUACAGGAUUUUAAAGAUAUGAGACGGUAUGAUAUUCUGAUACGUGUUUAAAAUUAUUAUUCAAGAUCGUACCAUUAAUUUUUAUAUCCUACUGAGUACUCUCAUGUACUCACUCUUUUCUCUACACCUCACAGGUUAGGUCGGGUUGUGUCGGAGCGUGGCGGUUCGAUGGUGUAGUUGUGCCUUGUCUUGUUGGACGAAAAUCUCAAGAAUUCAGCACGUAACUUUAUUUCCUUGCCAUAGACAUUUAUUUAAGACUAAAUUAUCAUUUAUGUUUAUUUGUUCCGUUGAUAUUUUUGUAAUUGCCUGUAAUAAGAUUGAAAACUGCAGUAAUCUAUUAGUGUUCUCCAUGAUAUGUGUGGACGUCUGUCCUCAAUUACAGUUGAUAAACAAUCCCUUUUUGUGGUAUGUCUAGUGACUCCAAUUAACUUUACAGAAUUACUUAAUUUGGCGAAAUAUGCUUGUUGACAAGGAAAAAGAGUAAAUUAAAUUUGCAUUUUUAAACUUAAUGUUUUGAUUUAAAUAUUAUUUCUUCCACCAAAUUCACUGCUUAAAGUAAUGGAACACGUCUUUACUGUCAAAUUCACUUCAAAGUAAUAGAUGUUGACUGGCAGUCAAAUCCAUGCUAUGUAAUAAAUUUUCCCAUAGCCUUGUGAUGUAGUGUGUGGAUUUCUUUAAUAAAAUAAGGCUACUUUUGGUAGAAUUCUCUCAUUUUGGGGCUGUGUCCCACGCCUUGAAGAAAGAGAAAAGUACAGUAUGCUUUAAAUUGGAGAUUGUUUUGUCCUGUAUAUAAUACAUAUGUAUAUAUGGUAUUCAUCAGUGCAUGUGCAUGCAUGUGUAUAUAUAUACACAUACAAAGUCAAAUGGUAAAUUAUUUCACACGUGUACAAAAGAAGAAGAAGAGGGUUUUGUCUCGAAUUCUUAAAGUACGAUCAAUUUUAUGUGCUUUUUUAAAAAUGUACAUGUUAAAGUUAUGGCAUAGAAAAAUAUUCUUUCUUUCCUAUCUAUUAAUUAAUAUAUAUCUCUUUUCCACGGAUUCAAGUAAAUUACCCUUUCAUAAUUACAUAUUUUGUUGCAUGCCACGCUUCCAAAAUUUGAAUGAAAAUUUUGGUAGCGAUUCAAACCUUUAAAAAUUUUGGAUCGUUACAUUACAUCCACUAUAGACAAUGGGCCUUACAGUUAGAUGCUGCCUAGCCAAUUCCAUUAGACUUCCUGUAAUCUUCAAGAUACUGUUGUCUCCUCUAGCUUUCUGAUCUUGUACAAUUUUCUCUUCCAUGUGGAGUUCCAAGAAUCUUCAAUUCUUAUGCUUUUUUUGUGCUUGUAGUCUAACAUUCUUCAAUAUUCAGUAGCCUCUGAAUUUUCGAUUGAGAAUGUACCUCCCUUACAGUGUUAAGGAAGCUAAGUAUUUUGGACUAAAGGAUUUGAUGUUUUCCCAAGUAUGUGGUUGUAGAAUCUCAAGGAUAAAUGUAUUGAAUGAAGGUAGGAACAGGCUCUUGGAUCUUUAAAGAACGAUUUGAAUAUGUUUUGCAAGAGAGGCACAAUGAACAACUACCACAGAAGAUCAUGCAAGACUUGGGUAUUUAUAGUUAGCGAUGUUUAGGUAUUAUAGGCUAUGUAAAACUUUUCAAAGUCACGAAUUAGGGUUGGCCGAAUAACACCGUUGCUCAAGCGAUCCUCCAACGAGAAGCAGGCAAUGAUGUUUCGCUCGAGCAAAGUCCUGCGACAGGCGAGCGAUGAUCAUUCUGUUUUUGUUGCUCAAGCAAUGUUUUGGCGAGCAAUGUCUUCCGGACUCGAACCCUAACUUACCUAACCCAUCUAUACAAAAUUGCACCAACUUCUUGACUUUUACACAUAUUCAAUUUAGUCCUUUUAGUUCACAGAAUCGCCAAUGAUAAAACCUAACAAAUAUAAUUAUUGAUGACGAAGAAACUAAAACAAAGAAUACAAAAUGAAUUAAGGUCCCAAUUAUCCAGAAUCAUUUCAUGACAGUUCACAAGGAAAAACGAAAAUCACAUCAUACCUUUGAAAAUUGAUUAGGAGAAACUCAGAAGAAACAAGAAUAAAUAUUCGAGUUAUAUUAAUCAUAAUUGAUAUAUUAGGCUGAGAUCAAAAAGUUUACUUGUAAGUAUAUAUUUAUGUUAAAAUUGUUUUCGUUUAAUUUGGUUAUACUUGCAAAUAUGUAAUUUCAAUGUCUUGAUAAUGAAAUAAAUGUUAUUUUCAAGUAGAGCAAUUUUUUGCUUAAAAAUAUGUUGAAAGAAAAGUUUGGAGAUAAAAUUAACUUUAACUUUCCUAAGCGUAUAAUAAAUGAUGAAUAGUUAAAAAUGUGAUUGAAAUUAAUGUUGACCUUUGACUUAUUUUAUAAAUUAUUUAUAAAUUGGUUGUCUAAUGGAGGCUUAAUUACUUCUUAUGUGUUGCAAAUUAUAUAAAGAUAAAAAAGUUUUAUUCUCAGCAAAACAUAGAUAAUAGAAACCGACGAGCUUCAAUGGCUGCAAAUUUUGAGUUGUCUAUAAUUAGAUCAAGUCUUAUCAUCAUUUAUCACCUACCCUAGGAAAAGAGAAAUAAGUAAUUAACGAGAAAUUAACAAUUUCAUGUCGAAAUUCCAAUCCAAUCACACAUACUGUGUAUUUAUUAGGAAGAAAAAGAAGAGAUAAAUAUAAAACUGUUUCGCGCGGGUAGUCGCUAACAAUUAAAAGGGGAUCAGACGAUUGUGUAAGGAACAAACCUCUUGAGACAAAGUCCCAAAAAGGGGUGUUUUAUUGGCGAUGAUUUACAAUUGGAACAAAACAGAAUGCCUACAAGGAGCGCAAGCACACGAGUAUUGAAAGAAAUGUUUAAGUUUAAACUAAGAAAUUGAAAUUACAUAUUCUUUGUUUGAGAGUGUUUGAUUCGGGGUCCUUCUCUUUAUGUCUUCUCUUCUUUUUAUAUUCCCUUGAUGAUUUCUUCAUGACAAACCACUUGGAAACUGCUUGAUUGCUUUAUAACUACCCACUUUCUUUAUGGUGGUUAACUUGUCGUGGAAAUUCCAUCUCUAACUACUGCCAUUACUCUUUUCGUUCAACCACCUUCAAUUGGGUUCCUUGAAUCGUGGAAUGUGAUAAGGUUACUCAAUAACUGUUUCAGUAACUGCAUUUCUAGAUAACCAUAACAUUUUAUGUUUGCUAAGAUCAUGAGCGAUUCGAAGGUAUGGGCGAGAACAUGGUUAUUGCUUUGGGCAACUGUAAGGCACUCCAUUCGCUCAGAUCUUGGGCGUCUUGCAAGUUUGAGCGAUGAUGUUACUGUGUUCGUGGGCUCCCACUGCAUUCAAUAAUAAUCCUGUCUAGGCCUUUAUUAUGAAUUUCCCAAUUGAACUUCAUUCUUUGGGCUAUUUGAUUUGAGAAUUCCUCAAUUGGGCUUCAUUCGUUGGGCUAUUCGAUUUGGGCUGCACUUUAAAUGUGUCAACAAUUACCCCCAAUAUGGCAGAAUUAAUACUAAUUAUUAAUCUUUGCCAUAUUUAUUUUGUGUUUUCCAGUAACAUUUGAAAUUCCCAAGAAUUUCAAUCAUUAUUUCCUUCCAUAGCUUGAAAAGGUGCGACGUUACAAACCCUUAUAAACCCUAAAGACACGUCAUUUCCUCACAUCACUAAAUCACGCCUAAUUAUUUCGCGCUUCUUUCUCACAAUAUUACUAUUCAUUUUCUUGCUUCUCUGCUUCGUUUCUCAAGCAAACUUUAACAAAACUGUAUUUCGUUCCCAAUGGCGGCUCCACAUACCCAAUUUGAUGACUCUUUUAGCUUCGAAGAUUUCCAAAAAAUCUUUACUCGGCCAUAUGUAAAUCCGAACUUCCUUGCACUAGCCAAUGUGGAACUCAAUGAGUUCUAUCUGAGUCUAUCAUUCAAUAACGUCGAAGCCGUCGAACAAGUGGCGGUGGGCCAACUGUUCCCUUGCGCUCAAGGCCCUCCGUUCCUGAACUCUUUGCCGCUGAGGCCGAUUCGCGAAAAAGGUAUUCACACUUGGCCUAAAUCUGAUGUUAUUUUCCAUAGAUGACAUGCUCACCUUGUGGGCCAUGGUCAUACCAAGGCAAUUUUUUAUCGUACUAAGAUUUCUGAUUUAUUAGAAAUUGCUCUUUAACCCCCAAUUUUUGACCCAGUGUUUUUUUCUAUUGCUUUAAGUUUUGGUCUUCUGAAUAUAAUACUUUGUUUUCCCUCUUGGUCCCAUGUCUAUUACUUUAAGGGAUGUUGGUGCCCUAGUAAAUCUUUCACCUUUGGGCGAUACCAUUUUCCCUGGUAUUUUGAUUUUCGGUGUCGCCCCAAAAUUUGACAAGAAACUCACUGAGUCCUACUCAAGCCUGCAAGGCUUUUAUAAUCACUCAAACGCUGAACGUCCCAUGCUGAGCGUGUGGCCUUUCUUCAGAUUUGGCUAUGUAAAUAUAUUCUCUGCGUGCCAAGUAUGAAGCCUUCCAUGAGUUACUUACCCAUAGCGCAUGAAUUAACACGUGGUAGGCCUUUGAAUUUGUGUUCCUUCUUUUUGGCUGCCCCUUUAUAGAGGCAUGGCUUCUUUUCAAUUUCAAUUGAAGAAUGGUGCAUCUCCCACUGACAGUGGGCUUCUUUGGUUCACUCAACUGUGGUUGAGAGCAUAUUUCCCAUCACUUAGUGCUCCGUCCAUUUUUCUUCAUUCUGCUAGCUGCUAUGGACUAGCCAUUGACCCAUUGAGCCCUGUAAAUAUGUCCAGUAGGGACAUUUUUUCAUUCUUUUAUACCUUAAAUUCAGUUCCUUCCUUCUUUCCUUUUCCUACUCAUUUGACUCCAGAUUAUGUGCAACCUCCAUCCACCCUAGACAGUACGAGCGCCUCUCUACUAAUUUGGAUUCAGUUUUUGACUGUGAGGGAGUUGUUCCGUGAUAUUUUAACUGGAACCAAUGCCAAAGCUGGGGUUGAAAUAUAUGUUCCCCAAAUUUUUGCUCGCCAACUUGAUUUUGGCCAAACUUGGCCUGUUCCUCCUUACUAUUCAAAAAAUUUGACAGACCGCUUUCACAUCAUUAAUAAGGCAGAGGCACAACAAGCAAUAGAUGCUCGCAACAUUCUUUUGACGAGUAAAUUUUCAUUAGCCCCCUUCAAUUCUAGUCGUGCCAUCUAUCUCCUUUUUGAACAACUCUGACCAUCAGUGAAGCGCAGAUUGUUUGCAACUAAUGCCAAUUGUGCUUUCCAUUAACUGGAUCAGCCAAACACUUCUUCCACUUCUCCUAUUUUGGUCACCCCUAUGUCCAUUAGGAAUCCUUCCUCCCCUGCUCAUGCUGAACAAUCUAUUCAUCUAUCUACUUCUCUAUCUGCCAAGGCUACUGCAGCUAAGAGUGCCUUAACCCGCAAACGGCUAGCUUCAACAUCUCCCAUUUUGAAGGAUGACGAUGAUGAUGCUCCUCUCAUCGUUAGGAGAAAGGUAAUUGAAUUCUGUUUAUUCACAAACAUACAUUUCUAUGUGCUAAUGGUUUACCUGAAACCUUUCUAUGUGCUAAUGAUUUACUUGAAUUUCUCAAAAACGUUCAGCCUCUCCUUUGAAGGCUUUGGUGUUGGUAGCUCCUGCUCCAUCACUCUCUGCUGCUGAUACUACUUCGUCCAAAUCAGCUGAUGAAGGGACUAUGCUUAAAGAGAAAUUUUCAGUCCCGAAACCUUUAUCACAACCAAUGGAAGACCCACCUUCUUCCCAGGGCACCGACCCCUCAAACAUCAAACUAGAAGGUAAUACAUUUUUUGAUGUUUUACCUUUGCUUGUGCUAUUGGUUUCUGAUUUGUUGCUUCUUGAAUUCUGCAGAGGCUCCCAUGGGUCUGCCCGUUGUGGCAGAGUCUUCUCGCCCACAUAAUGGGAAGUCUCCAUAGGUGGUGGAGCCAACUGGUAAUAUGCCACUUCCCAAGAUUGCUGAUGAGGUAAUCUUUCGCUUCACUUUUAUUUUCGCUUCGUUUAUUGUAGUGAAAGCCCUCAAUGUUGGCAUUUUUCUUUGCAGGGUAUUGAUGACAUUGUACAUUCCAUUCAGGACUUGUUCACUUCCUGAGGACAAGUCAAGACGUCUCGUCCUACUUCAACCGGUCAUCCUUCUGCUUCUUCAGAGGAAGAUAUCAAGUUCCUUAAGCAGUCGAUAUUUGAGUAUGUGUCUUUUAUGGACAUGGACAUCGGUCAGGCUAGUGCUGAAAAACAUAAGGAUAAGCUUGAGCUAUUGAGUGCGAAGUUGGCGCAAGCACUGACACUUUCGUCGCUCAAUAUUUCUGCUGAUUUUAAAGCGACGUUGAAGGUUUUUCACUCUGACAUCCUCUCCUUGCUGGCCAAAAAUGUUGAACUGAAGGCCGGGAGUACUCAAUAUCUUAGCGCUGCAUCUGAAAGAGAGUCUUUGCUUCUAGAGAUUAACAAAGUCGAGGACGAAUUGAAAGAAAUCUCUUCCGAAGUUAUGAUUGAAGACUCCUUGAUGACCAGUUUGGCUGCAGAUAUGAAGGAGCUUCAAGUAAGGAUGGACGACUAUAAGGCGAGAAUGGCUGCUAAAAAGUAUAAUGCUUCCCAAGGAAUUGAGCAAACCAAGUCUUUGGUCGAGCAGUACAAAAAGCUGGAGGUUGAUGACGAUUUUAUAGCUGAAUUAAAUAUCCCUUCUUCUCAGCAGAGCGAGGAUUGGGAGAGACUUAGGGAAAGAAUUCGAUCGGCCUGGGGUGAAUUGUAAUUAAGACAUCUAAUGCCUUAAAUUUUCCUUUUGUAACUUCGUACUAACUGUCAUUGCUAAAUUUGAAUGUAACAGCAGCCAUUGUCAUUAAUGAACGACUAUUUUGACUACUUGUGUGCUAAUUGACGUUGUCCGUAAUUUUCAAUCCCCCAAGCAUUUAAAUGCUUUAUGCUAAAAUUCUUGUACAUUCUCUCUUGGUAUUUUUGUCUCUUUUCUGAAGACUUUGGGCAACUUGACUCCAAUUACUAGGCACGAAUGUGGCUGUUCAUAUUCUGUCUCUUUACCUUCAUGCCCCUAUAAAUGCACGUAUAUUUCGCACUUUUCAUUUUCAUUUCCAUUCUUUUCUUCAAAAACUAAUUUGCUGUCAUCGUUUGGCAUUUCAACAAUCGAUCCAAAAUUUUCGUCUUCCAUAGAAAUGAAUCAUUUGAUCCGCCCAUUUUGCUAUCUGUUUUGAUGUUACCUUUAGUAUAGGAGAUAUAGGAAAUAUUCUUUGACCAGCAAAGUUCUUCCCAUCGUCUUCAUGUUCUUUACAAGGAGUUCAAUGAUGGAAGGUAAUUUUUGAGGAUGCCUGUCAAGCCACCUUGCUUGCUGAGAGUGCUUCUCAGUCUCCUUGCCCGUUAUUGCAGCAAUGCGAUUAGGCAAGCGAUGUGAUGGUGCUUUUCUUCCCUUUUGCUUGCUGAGAAUGCUUCUUGGCCUCUCUGCCUGCCUUUGCAGCAGUGCGAUCAGGAUAGCAAUCAAGGCCAGUUCACCCUCUUACUUGGCGAUCGACCGAGAGAUUAGUUUGCUCUCAAUUGUAGCUUAUAGAGCAUUUAGUAUUUUGUAUCUCGCAAUUUGUAAUAAAUAUUUGAUAAUAAAGGAAUUUAUUUGAACGUAUUUCGUUCUGGCCCUUUUUAUAUAUGAUCGUUCAACGUGAUUUGAUUACGCUUUUAUUUGUUCACUUUCCCAAAUCUAUAAAUAAUAUGAUCACGGAUAAAUUCUACGACACUCUUUUGGGUGAUUUCUUUUAAAGGUAUCGCUUCUACCCACUUAGUGAAAAAAUCAGUUGCAACUAUAACAAAGGUAUGUUGCUUGGACGACGGGGAAUAAAUCUUCCCUAUUAGGUCUACCGUCCAACCCUUGAACGGCCAAGGUUUGAUAAUAGGUGUCAUCUCUAUUGCUGGCGCCCUUUGUAUUGGACCAUGCUUUUGGCAUGCUAGACAACUCUUUGCAUAUUGAACACAUGAUUCUCCCAUCUUUGACCAAAAAUAUCCAUUCCUAAUAAUUAACCAUCUCAUCCUUUGACCAGCUUGAUGAGCUUUACAUAUCCCUUCGUGCACCUCAACCAUGAUUGUCUUGGCUUUUUGCAAAUUUACACAUUUUAGCAAUAUACCAUCAGAGCGUUUCUUAAAUAACUCUUCAUCUAUCAGUGUAUAGUUUAGCAAACGCAACUUCAUUUUUCUGCUAUCUCCUUUAUUAGGUUCUUUAAGGGAUCUUUUAAUCUCUGUCCUCCAAUCUAUUGUAUCUCCAUCUUGUAUGCAAUGAAUUUCAAUCUUUCUCGCCCUUCUUUGAACUACGGGUAAUAUUACUCCAUAUUCAUAAGUAGAUUUCCAAUUUAAAACCUUUGAAUACCCUGAGGCCAUCUGGGCCAACUCAUUUGCUACGUCAUUAUAUAUCCUAUUAACACAUUGAAGCUCUACUUGGUCGAAUUCUUCCAAAAAAUCUUGGGCGAUUUCAUAUUGACUUAUAAUGGAAUCACUUUGGCACUUAAAAUCACUAAUCAAUUGGUGAAUCACCAAUUGAGAAUCGUCUCUAAUGAUCACAUUCUUUACUUCCAUAUCUAUCAUUAAUUCUAGGCCCACGAUUAAGGCUUCAUAUUCGACUUGAUUGUUGGUGCACAUCCUAUCCAAAGUGAAUGCGAACUUGUAACAAAUCCCUAAAGGAUUUAUCAAUGCUACUCCUACUCCUGCACCUUUAGAGGUUUUUGACCUAUCGAAAUACAAAACCUAAGGUUUUAAUUCGAAUGAAUUGGCUUCUAAUUCAAUUUCUUCAGGCAUGUCAAGGUAUGGAUGAUCGGCCAGAAAGUUAGCCAAAGCCUGAUUUUUGAUUGCCUUUUGGGGUAUGUAUUGUAUUUCGAAUUCUAAUAAUGCUAACGUCCAAAGGCCUACCCUUUAGUGUAAAAUAGGGCGAGAGAACAUAUACUUAACCAAAUUUAUUCUAAAAAUCAAAUAAAUGGUUACGAGUCGUAAAUAAGCCCUUAAUUUCGUACACGUGAAAUACAAUGCAAGACAUAAUUUUUCAAUGGCAGAGUAAUUACAUUCACAUUUUGUUAACCGUCUACUCAAGUAGUAAAUCGCCCUUUCUUCACCAAAUUGGUCUUCUUGCGCGACCAUUCCAACUAUUGAUUCUUGUUCAGCCGAUACAUACACUUUCAUUGGCCGUUCUUGGAUUGGUGACAUCAACACUGUUGGACUUGAUAAAUAUGUCUUUAGACUUUCAAAAACCUUUUGAUACUCUUCUUUUCAGAAGAAUUCGUCCUGAUUCUUCAACUUUAAAAGCGGCGAAAAGCUUUAGUUCACCCUACACAGUUAGAAAUAAAGCGUUUUAAAAAAUUUACUUGGCCUAGAAACCUUUGCAAUUAUUUUUUAUUGUUAGGUGAUUUGGCCUCUAAAAUGACCUUCGCUUUAUUUUUAUCAAGUUCAAUCCCCCUUUUGUGUACUAAGAAACCAAGGAAGUUUCUUGCAUUAACACCAAAUGCACAUUUCAAGGGUUUCAAUUUUAGUUUAUAUUGCUUCAUUCGCUCAAAUGAAUAUCUCAAUUGUUCAAAAUGGUCCUCUUCUUUAAUGGAUUUGACCACUAUAUCAUCUACAUACACUUCAACAAACUUGCCUAUCAUAUCAUGAAAAAUCAAGUUCAUCGCCCUUUGAUAAGUUGCUCCUGCAUUUUUCAGACCGAAAGACAUAACUACCCAUUCAAAACAUCCUAGAGACCCACGACAUUUAAAGGCAGUUUUGUGUAUAUCUUCCUCAACUAUAUAAAUAUGAUUGUAUCUUGAAUACCCAUCCAUGAAAGAAUACAUUACGUGUCCGGCAAUCGAGUCUACUAAAGAAUCUACCGUGGGCAUUGGAUAUUCAUCUUUGGGUGUGGCUAUAUUUAAAUUUCUAAAGUCUAUGCACACCCUUAAUUUACCAUUCUUUUUUAGUACUGGCACGAUAUUGGACAACCAUUCGACAUAUCUGGCUGUUAUAAUAAAGCGUGCUUUUAAUAAUCGCUCUAUUUCUUUCUUAAUCUCAGGGAGUACAUUAGGAGCAAAACGUCUAGGAGGUUGUUAAUGAGGUUUAAAAUUUGGCUUGGUUGGUAAUCUAUGUUCCACCAAACCUCUAUCUAAACCAGGCAUGUGUUCAUAUUCCCAAGCAAAACAAUCCUUAUAUUUCUUUAAUAAAGUGAUUAAUUUAUCACUAACCUCUUGAUCGAGCAUCUGGCUGACGAAUAUUAGGCGAUCUUCUCCUUCAUUGCCAAUAUUCACUUUAAUCAGAGGGUCCUGUGCUUGAGCGUAUCCAGGCUUGGUGAUCCUCACUACUUCAUCGUCCAAUUCGCUUAUAGGCAUUUCUUCUUCUAAACAAUCCACCUUGUUGACUUUUCGGCCAAUAUUUUGUUCCAACUCAAACACUGCCAAUUUGUCUCUCAAUACUUCCAAGGCUGCUUCUUCUUUUGUCUUGUCCUUACAUUCUUUAUUGAAAGCCAUUAAUUUGACUUUUAAGGCCUGAACAUCGGUCAUUUGCCUUUGUUGCUUACAACUCAUUUAAAACUCCUUGAUUACUCUUUUGCCAAUUACUGGCUCUUCUAGGGCCACUAUAUUUGGCCUCAUUUGACUAAACAUUUAAGUGAGUGCAUCUACCGAAAACGGCUCUUCACUCUAUGCAACAAUUUGAGUUUCUUCUCCAUCUUGGACUACUCUGACAGGUCCAUAAUUUCCUUCGUACAUGAACCUUUCCACUGAGUUUGCUUCUGCGACAAAAGGCCUAUGAUCGGCUUGCACAACUUCUGCUUCACCCUUAUCAUUCCAAAAAAUCAGGCAUUGAUGGAGCGAUGAGGGUAUACAACGACUUCCGUAUAUCCAAUCUCUUCCUAAUAACACAUUGUAACUAGUAGGACCAUCUAUUACAAAGAAGACUGUGGUCCUAGUAGUUGUCCCUAUAGUUAUAUCUAAUGAGAUAACCCUUUUAGCUAAAGUUGCUCCUCCAUUGAAACUUGUAAGGAUGACUUCCGUUGGAAUCAUAUCACUUUCUGUCUUUGCAAAUUUCCUCAUCAUCUUAGAUGAAAUAGUAUUUAUAGCUGCUCUAUUAUCAACAAGUACUUUUGCCAUAGGUAUGCCGUUAACUAAAGCUUUAACGUACAAUGGCCUCAAGUGUUUAGUUAACUUCAUGGCUGGUCUCUUAAAAAUAACUUUCAGCAGCAUCUAUUUCCACUUCCUGUUUGUCCUCUGUCAAGUUAUCAUUUUGUGAUAAGUCAACGUGUAGUAUGUCACACUGAGUUUCUGUUUCCUGAAUUUUCUUUUUACUAUUUUCUAAUGCUUCUUCUUCGGUUGCCCAACCUGUGGGAGGAGGCAUUAUCCUUGGAGGUGAUCCAUAUUUUUCAGAGUAAGGAACUUUCUUUUUCAUUUUGGGCGUCCCGUACAGUACGUAAUAAUCGAAAGAACGCCUAGACGGUUCUCCUAACAAGUCCACUCCAGAACCCCCUCUCGAUGUAGUUGCUUCAACAGAGUAUUGUGCGAUACCCCUCUCUUUCUUCUUUCUGCUCCAGAUCAAUUGUCUCUUCGAUGUUCGUCAUACCAUCAUCCUCUUCAUCAUCGUAGGCCCCUCUAGAAGUUUGACCUUCUUCACAUUCCAGCACACAUGCUUCUUCUUCAUUAUCCUCCCUUUCUUCUUCUUCUUUCUUUUUGUUCUUGAAGUCGUUGGCUAGUAAGUAAUUAUUAGCCAUGAUAGGAGGUAACGUACCGAACUAAAUAGUAAGGAGCUGAUCUGGAUCUUCUCCAUCUCUUCUGUCUCGCUCAAACUUCGAUCUCCCAGAAGAAGUUUCUGGUAAUUCUUCCAUUGAUUCACCUGUACCAGUCUCUUCACUGUCUUUGCGAAUAUUUUGAUUGGCUACCUCGAGUAGUUUAGGCACUUUAGGACGUGGCAUUUCCUGUUGUUGCCUUAUCAUUCGUACAUAGUUCCAUUGAAAACGCCUUUGUUGGGUUCUAGUCAUCUCGUUGAAGGGUAUCACUCUUCCUGCGUUAUACUGGAACGAAUGCCAUACAUUUGGUUUGCAAGGUUGUGGCCUGAAUGUUCUCCCAUUAUUUACUAGCCUGAACUGCCUCUCAAAAGAUGGUCCCCUAUAGAAUGAUGUACCUCACCCUCUACCAGGCUGAACGUUUGGGAAAAAACUAGGGAGAUGGUGAUGCUGCCAUAUCCCUGAUUUCUCUGUAUUUGCACUCACUUCUCUUUUGCAUCUUGCACAUAGGACGUCUUCAUCCUUUUUGGGCUCUUUCCCUUUGAUACGUUCAAAGACACUAGGAUGUGGCCCAGGGUCCUCUUCCCCGUCAUCUAUAACCAACUUGAAUUUUGGUAACUUGUUUUUGAAACCAGUCGUCACCAUGUUCACCCAAGUGGUUGUGGAAAAGGGUUUUCAUCCACUGCCAUUUUCUUCUUGUCUUCGAACGUAACUCGUCCUGAUUCAAUGGCAUCCUGUAACACAUGGUGAAAAACCAAAUAGUUGUUAGUCAAAUGUGACCAUGCCUUAUGCCACUUACAAUAUUUUUUACCCUUAACAUGUUCAGGGCUUGGCAAUUUAUGUUUAUCGCUCAGCUUUAUCUGUUUAUCCUUAUAUAGUUUAUCAAAUAUAAGUCAGCUUUGGUUACAUUGAAUGAGAACGUUCUAGCCUUUUUGUUUUCAUCUUUUAUAGGCUUAUCCUUGCCCGACGGCUUAGGUUUAGCCAUUAUAGGACAAGUAUACGUAUAUCCUUUAAUCAAUUCGGCCAAACACAUUUCGGCUUGAUCGUAAUAUUCGUCAUUAAUGGUAUGAACAUCAAAAUUUGGGUCUCUAUAAUAAGUCCCCUUACUAGAAUUUUUCAUUUGCUCUUUUUCUCUUAUUAAUCGUUCAUACCUAAUCACGUUUGCGCUCAAUUGAAAAAGAUCAGGAAAUUCCUUGUCUUGAAAUUUCUUUUUCAAAUCAAAGCUUCAAUCUUGAGUGAUCUUGACAAACUCCUUUUCGAGCAAAGGUACACAACAUUUACUUCUUGCUGUCUUGAAUCUUUGAAGGAAACCUUCUGUCCAUUUGUUUGGCAUUUGACGCAGACUCGCCAAAUCGGCCAAAGUAACUUCAAACCCAGUCUUAUAAAACUGAGCCUGAAACAAUUUCUCCAAUUGUUGCCAUGUUUGAACAGAGUUCGCUGGAAAAUUGAUAAACCAGGAGAAAGCUACUCUUGUUAAUGAACUAGGGAACAACCUCAUUUUAUGGUAGUCUGUUACUUUACCACUUUGCAGUGUGAAUCGCCCUAUGUGUUCUAGAGUAGAUACCUCUCCUAAACCGGUAAAUAGUGAGAAUUCUGGCACUUUAUACCCUCUAAGCUAUAGAUAUGCUUGGUCUACCCAAUCAGGAUAUGGCUUUGUGUAAAUUGGCCUAAUGACAAGACGUACUCCAAAAGCCAUCUGAUCCCGUACUGUUUCCAUAAUUUCAUUCCUCAACAUGACGUUGGGGUCAUAUGGAAUUCCUACAGGUUGGUUGAUCGGUUGAUUUGCUUGAGGCCUGAUGUUUGGUCCUUGGUUGGCAACAAAGUUGCCUUAAUUUGGGCCAUUAUUACAAUGACCCUGAAUAUUUAUUCCAUCAUUAACACGUGGGGCAUUCUGUCCAUUAUUUAGGACAUUGUCUCUUACAUUUAGGUUACCCCCCAAGUUAGUUGUACCAUUAUCACUAUUCGGAUUUGGCAUUACACCAUCCCUUGGUUUGAAGUAAAGGGACCAAAAGGUGGUUCUAUCCCUUGAUUUGGACUCAGGACAGGGGGAUUAUGUCCCACAAUUGUCCUAUCUUGAAAGUGAUUUGCAAGAGGCACAACUGGCUGACAAAUUCGACCUACUAACUUAUUUUUUAGUUCAUUCAAAGUAUUCAGUUGUUUGGCCAUGUUGUCAUAAUGUGCAUUCCCAUUAUGGGUAAAUCUUUCCAUAUUAUGAAUAUUUCGUAGAUUUACCUGUUCAACGACAUCCUAUGUGAGUUCUCCAAGUAAUACACGCAUGGUUCGAGGACUCAACUCUGUCAUUAGUUCGUAACGACUGUUACUACUCUGACUCUGUCCCUCUGUCGUGGAGAGCUAUGCUGCUCCUCAUAUCGCUCGAUCACAGACUGGACUCCUCCCUCACUUGCUGCUUCCUUAUCAGAUUUGUGAGGUAUAUUGUUUUACCUUUUAUAUCUUCAACACCAAACACCAUUAUCCCACCGGGCGUGCCAAAUUGUUUCGCGCGGGUAGUCGCUAACAAUUAAAAAGGGAUCAGACGAUUGUGUAAGGAACAAACCUCUUGAAACGAAGUUUCAAAAAGGGGUGUUUUAUUCGCGAUGAUUUACAAUUGGAACUAAACAGAAUACCUCCAAGGAGCGCAAGCACACGAGUACUGAAAGAAAUGUUUAAGUUUAAAUUAAGAUAUUGAAAUUACAUAUUCUCUGUUUGAGAGUGUUUGAUUCGGGGUCCUUCUCUUUAUGUCUUCUCUUCCUUUUAUAUUCCCUUGAUGAUUUCUUCGUGACAAACCGUUUGGAAACUGUUUGAUUGCUUUAUAACUACUCACUUUCUUUAUAGUGGUUAACUUGUCGUGGAACUGCUGUUUCUAACUGUUGCUACUACUCUUUGUCGUUCAACCGCCUUCAACUGGGUUCCUUGAAUCGUGGAAUGUGAUAAGGUUACUCAAUAACUGCUUUAAUAAUUGCAUUUUUGGAUAACCAUAACAUUUUAUGUUUGCUAAGAUCCUGGACGAUUCGAAGGUAUGGGUGAGAACAGGGUUAUCGCUCUGGGCGACUGUAAGGCACUCCAUUCGCUCAAAUUUCGGGCGUCUUGCAAGCUUGGGCGAUGAUAUUACUAUGUUUGUGGGCUUUCACUGCAUUCAUUAAUAAUCCUAUCUGGGUCUUUAUCCUAAAUUUCCCAAUUAGGCUUUAUUCUUUGGGCUAUUUGAUUUGGGAUUCCUCAAUUAGGCUUCAUUCCUUGGGCUAUUCGAUUUGGGCUGCACUUUUAGUGUAUCAACAAAAACAAAAUAAAUACCUAUAUCAAUUAAACAGCUUCUUAAUGAGAAAAUCCAUAACUGAUCCAGUUUCUGGCUUUCUGAGAUAUUGACAUAAAAUAAGCUGUUCUAUUAUUUUACUCCAACAAUUCCUAAUUAUAUAUAAUUUGUAUUGGUAUUAUUCAACUAUUAAAUAUUCAAAUUAGAUUCUGGAAUCCGUACAAAUUGGACUAUGUUGAUAGAAAAAAAGCUUUAGAAAAAAAAGCUAAAGCGCAUCUGUGAGAAAUAAUAAUCUUUUUCUUAUUCAUGGCCUUUGAAUGAAAGGCAAAAGAAUGUAUAGAUUACGCAAAUGGAAUAGACAGUCAAUAAUGGCCUACUAUGUUAUAGAUAGAGCCAAUUUGCAUUGACCCGGUGAUAGAACUUAAACCACUUGUUAUGAAUGUUAAAGGAAAGAAAUAUGGAUAAAAUGAAAAUAAUGAAUCACACAGAAACACAAUAUUUACGUAGAAAUCCAAAUUCGGAAAUACCACGCACAGAGAGGCGAAAUAUUUACUGUAAUCAAUAGCAAUGAAAUACAAAAGGAGGUCCACAUGACAAAUUAAAAUUUUCCCAAUAAGAAAAAGAAACAUAUUUGUCAUGUGGACCUAUAUAAUAUGGAGAAACCAAUUGAAAUGAAACAGCUUCAUGAUGGGCUCUAAAGAAAUUCUAGACACGGAUAAAAGUCUCAUGUUCAAAUAUAUUCACACCAAAUAGGCCGGCUGUUGUAUUAUAUUGAAAUCUCAACAAGUAGAUAUACAGCGUAGAAGCUGUACAAAUGUGACGAUUAAAGCUCCAACUAGUCAGCCCAUUAAAAAUAUUUUCUUAUUCAAAGCAGACGUGGGAAAAUAGAAAUGGAAUAAACUGAUUAUAAACCGAAAAUGUAUCGUCAAAUGGCGUGCUAAUAUAUUAAAUUUUAAGGCGCAGUUUGACUAUAAUAUUCAAAUGUUUUCUACUACACCACCGCUAUAUAUACCAUGUUCAGCUGCUGUUUCCUGCACAGCUCUUCACUUCUUCUCUAUUGUAAUUCACUUAACUUUUCAACUAUUCAAGGUAAAUAUGGGUAUCUCCAACUAUUUCCAUGAACUCAAAACUAAUGUUUCUCACAAGAGGCUGUUCAAGGCUUUGAUCACCGAUAACCACGAUGUUUUGCCGAAAGUCUCCCCUUCCAUCAAGAGCAUUGAGACAAUUGAAGGAGAUGGUGGUGCUGGAAGUGUCAAAAAGACAAACUUUUCUGAAUCUGAAGGUUAGUCCAAAUAUUAAAAUCGCGAAAAAAGAAUGAGAACGUAAUAUUUUGUAUAUAUGCAGUACUAUUGUGUCAAAGGUCCUUCUUCUUUUUCUUUUUUUCUUUUCUCCUUUUUUUAAAAUUUUUAAAUUUUUUAUUAUUUUUAUUAUUUUUACGACACCAGACAAAAUAAAACAUGUCCGAAGUUUUGUUCAUUUUACAUACUCUCAUGAGCAUUUGCGUUACAUAACAGGGUCUCACUUCAAGCACAUGAAGACCAAGGUCGACUCCUUGGACAAAGAAAACUACGUGGCCAAGUUCACUUUGGUUGAGGGAGAUGCACUUGGUGACGAGCUUGAAAAGGUAUGUUACGAUAUGAAAUUCGAGGACUCAAAGGAUGGAGGAUGUGUCCUCAAGAUCACCAGUGAGUAUCAUUCAAAGGGUGAUAUUGUACCUAAAGAAGAGGAUAUUAAAGCAGCCCAGGAACAUACUAUGGGACUCUACAAGUCUUGUGCAGAUUACCUGAUUGCCAAUCCUCAUGUUUGUGUCUAAAUAAUUUCUAGUUAUAUUUCCGAUUUUCAGUAUUUCCUUAAUAAAGAACUUUGUUCUACUCUUCCAUUGAAGUUUGUUCUUAUCCAACUGUUAUCAAAAUUUAUGGUACAACAUUAAGAUGAAAUUUUAGCAAGGUUCAGGUCUUUGCCUUAAUAAAGCGAAUUUGUUUGUUUAUUUCCAUCCACGUCUAUUUAUUCCUAUUUCAUGUCGAAUUUUCAACGAAUAGUACCGAAUUUCAUCAAAUUACAUGUGAGCUUGCUAUUUAUAUCUGUUUCUUUGCACGUAAAUUUCAGUUGCAAAGAAAUUUUAUCUAGAUAUGGAGUAAUUAAAACUUCCAUUUGAUUGUAAAGGUGAAAAAGGCAAAUCAAUUUGAUAUAAGUUGGAAAAGAAAAACCACCAAAACCAUAGGAAUGCAUUUUCAAUGGAAUUGGCCAAAAACAUGUUUUUAAGUGUUUGUAACCUGGAAUUCGAACUCCAUUUUCACUUUCGUAUCAAACAGGCAAAAUAGAAAACAAAUUCCUCGAAUAUGACAUUUUAUAUUGAAUUGAAGUCAAUCAAACGGAGCCUAGGACCCUCUUAAUAAUUACCUGAUCCAAGAAAUGAACGAGGACAAAAAAAGCUGUGGAAUAGUUAUAUCUAACUUUUGUACAUUGGAUUUUUUGCAUAAUUAAUUGAAGUUACUUUUAGGGCCUGUUUGAUUGCAAAGAUGGAAUUUGGAUGAAGAGAAAAUGAAUUUUAGGGAGUGAAAUUGUCUAGAAAGUAUUUUACUGAAAAUUGUCAAUUAUUAUGUUUGAUUGGUAUAAUUUUUUAUGUUGAAAAUGUUGAAAUAAAAGUAUUUUUUGGUAUUUGUCUGGCUUUAUUUUACAUGAAAAUUGUCAUUUAAAUUAAUAGAAUUUACUGGUAUAGGGGAUAAAAUUUGUUUCCAUUGCCAAAAAAAAAAAGACAAGAAAAUCAUCCAUCUUUUAGCGUUCGUUUGACUUUGUUUUACAUGAAAAUUGUCAAUUAAAGGAAUAUAUAUAUAUAUAUAUAUUUUACACAAUUAGGGAUAGAAUUUGUUUCCAUUGUCAAAAAAAUAAAAAAAGAAAAGCAACCAAAAAAACCAAUUCCCAACUAACCCAAAGGAAUACAAAUUCCUCAUUUUCGUGGAAAAUAGGAUCACGAACCAGAAAACUAGAAAAUGAAUUGCCAGGAAUAUAUUACCUAUCAAAAAUGACAAAAAGUGAAAAUGACAUUUUCAAUUCCAACUUCCAUGAAUAAUAUGGCGUAUCAAACGGAGCCUUACUGUUUUGCCUAAAGUCUCCCCAUCCAUCAAGAGCAUUGAGACAAUUGAAGGAGAUGGUGGUGCUGGGAGUGUCAAAUAGACAAACUUCUUUGAAUCUGAUGGUUAGUCCAAAUAUUAAAAUCGCGAAAGAAGAAUGAGAACAUAAUAUUUUGUAUAUAUGUAGUACUAUUGUGUCAAACGUCAUCAAAUAUACCAUACUAAAUAAGUCAUAAAUUUGUAGUUGUCACCAAAAAAAAAAAAAAGAAGAACUAGACCAAAUAAAACAUGUCCGAAGUUUUGUUCAUUUUACAUACUCUCAUGAGCAUCUGCGUUAUAUAAUAGGAUCUUACUUCAAACACAUGAAGACCACGGUCAACUUUCUGGACAAAGAAAAUUACGUGGGCAAGUUCACUUUGGUUGAGGGAGACACGCUUGAAAAGGUAUGUUACGAGAUGAAAUUUGAGGACUCAAAGGAUGGAGGAUGUGUCCUCAAGAUCACCAGUGAGUAUCAUUCCAAGGGUGAUGUUAUCCCUAAAGAAGAGGAUAUUAAAGCAGCCCAGGAACAUACUAUGGGACUCUACAAGUCUUGUGCAGAUUAUCUGAUCGCCAAUCCUCAUGUUAGUGUCUAAAUAAUUUCUAGUUAUGUUUCCGAUUUUCUGUAUUCCCUUGAUAAAGAACUUUGUUCUACUCUUCCAUUGAAUGUUGUUCUUAUCCAACUAUCAUCAAAAUUUACGGUACAACAUUAAGAUGAAAUUUUAGCAAAGUUCAGGUCUUUGCUUUAAUAAAACGAAUUUGUUUGUUUGUUUCCAUCCGCGUCUAUUUAUUCCUCUUUCAUAUCUAAUUUUCGAUGAAUAGUACCAAAUUUCAUCAAAUUACAUGUAAGCUCGCUAUUUAUAUCUGUUUCAUUGCAAAUAAAAAUCGGUCGCAAAUAAAUUUUAUUUAGAUUUUCACUACUUAAAACUAAGAUCCCUUUAAUUAUUACCUGAUCCAAGAAAUGAAUAUGGAUAGAAAAAGCUAUGGAAUAGUUACACAUAACUUUUGUUCGUUGGAUUUUUUUGCAUAAUUAAUUGAAGUUACUUUUAUUACUAACACGUCAUUAUAUUUGAGAAAUAGUUAAACAUAUAAUGCUUUUUAUUUUUAUUUUUACGAUUAGACUAAUAAGGAUAUUGAUGUUAAGUCAGACAUAAUUUAAAAUCAAAAGUAAAUCCUUGAGUUGUAUAUUCUACAAAAAAAUAAAAAUACACACACACACACACUACGUUUGAGCCAAAUUUUGCCAAUUUUUCAUUUUAGUCCCCGAACUCUCUUCCAAUGUGCAAUUUGGUCCUUUUUCAUUUCUUUUCAAUCCUUAGCCUUUCUUUUUUAUCCAACUGACUCUUAGCACUCUCCAAUCGUCGAUAUAAUAUCUGAAUCAACUUUUAAGAGUUUUCAAUUUAGACCUCAAACUUUAAAAUUUUUCCCUUUUUUUUUUUUUUUUUUCCAUUUUUCACUCAUUUCGUCCAACUCCAUCAUUUUGUUUCAAAUUUCUCCUAACAAACGAAAUAUAUUCAAAUUUUUGUGAUAAAUAAUAUUAAAUAAUAGAAUCCGAAAAUCCAAGUUUAAGUGAUUUGUUAAUUACAAGGAGUUGUGAUUGUGAGAUACAAAUUACAUAUAAUUGGAUCUUGAAUAAACCGUGGUCGUAAGUAAUAACGAGAUACGGAUAUCGUUAAUACAGUUAGACCAUCACAUUUGGCAUUUCUUACUUGUGAAGUAAGUAGCUGAUCUCACGAGCUAAAGUGUGGUGACACUUAAAUGAACACGUGGAUGUUUGUUAUAGAACAAAAUAUUGGAGACCCACUGAGAGAUUCCACAUAGAUAACUAUCUGAGUGUCAGUGGUUAAUCUCUAACGUUCAGUAGUGAAAUUGGUUCUAUAACUUGAGGUCAUCAUAGUGCCUUAUAUGAGGACGGUCAUACUUUGACGGUGUUGGAUGUUGCUCUGCCAAGGGCUGCUAAUACGACAUCGUUCGGGUAUGUCAAGAACCAUAUGAAGGUUGUGAAUGACCAAUAGAUGAUUCAUCACUUUUAGAUGGUAAGAGAUUGUGAUCUGCAUUUCGUUCAAUUAAGUCAAUAACAAAAUCCUUGGCCAAGGUAUACAUAUAAGUCGAAAAGAAAUUUUCAACUCAUAUUGACUUAAUAGUAGAAUGAAAGAUAUGAUCGAUAAUCGAGAUUGACACACUUCCAUAUCUCGUAGUUGAUCGGAUCAUAUUGACGAAGGGAUUAUAAUUUCAUGGUAAACGAACAGUUUUGGUUUUGUCAUACCACGUGACAUUUCCCGUCACAUGUGUUGCCCUGAUACAUUGUUAGAUGUCAGUAUGGGACGGCGAGUGUGAAUUUGUGAUAAAUUAAAUGGGUGUUUAAUUUAUCAGUUUUGAUUAGAUCAAAAUAAUAUUUCACGUCAUUAGGUGUCGUGGUCGGGAACCUAAUGGGUCGCACACAAAAGAGAAUUGGAAGAUUGCAAAUUGCCAAUUGAUUAAUUUAACAAUCGUUGGAUACAUUAAUUAAUUGAAUUUGUUAUUUAUAUUCCCGAAUUAAUUAGUUCACGGAUCGGGUUUAAUUAAAUGGAUUAAUUAAACAUUGGACAGGACCGGGCCAAGCCCGUUUGGGUUUAUAUAAAUACAUGGCUAGAGUUUGAGAUCUAUAAGGUUUUCAUUAUUCUUGCUGGCACAAGAGGAAAAAUCCUACCAGUUGCAGUCUAUUCUCUGCGUGGAUUUCAUUGGAGGCUGAACAAUUGGACAGUUGUGGAAGGCAGAUUCAAACUGCUCGAAAGGAAUAACGCGAAGGAGUUUGCAAAAUCAAGAAAGUGUAUAUUUCUUAUCACAAUUCUUAUCUAAAUAUAAAGUUGAAUCUCGAAUUGGAAUUGAAAUUUGUUUAAAUCUGGUGUGCAUGUUUAAGUAAAUUCUCAACAGUGGUAUCAGAGCCAACUUUGUAUUUGUUAAGAAUUGAUCUAUAUAUUGAUUAAAUUAAAAGUUAAUUUAAUCAUGUUAAUCCAUGAAUCUAGCAAUUGUAGUUUUAGUUUUAUUUUUCUUUCCAGAAUCUGAUUUUGAAAGAACACAAAAAAAAGUUUUUUUUUCUUGGAUCGAGGCAGCGGGACAGUGGCGGCUGCGCGCACGCCACAGCCACGCGUAGCGUGCGCUGCUGCGUACUGCAGGCGCAUCAAGCGGCGGCUAGGCUGCUGCUGUGGUGGGCUGGGGGGUAACUGUCGACAGUUCCCCUACCGGCUGUUGGGCAGGGCGGCGCCGGGUAACAAAAAAAAAAUUUAAGGUUUUGGCGGAGACGGGGGCCUCUGUUGCAAAUAAUGCAAUUAGGGGCCCCUGAUUGCAAUUACAAAAAUGGGGUCAGUUUGCAAAAUUUAAAAGGGGGACCUGUUCUACAAUUUUUAAUUUGGAAGGGUCCGGUGUUAAUUUCCAAAUUGGGUUAAAUUUGUAAAUUGUCAAAAAUGAUUUUGAAUUGAUUUUAAAAUGAUGUUUUAAUUGGGUUUGACCCAUACCAUAAUUUUGAUCCAAAAUUAAAAUUUAUUUAAAAUUUGACUACUUUUAUAUUUUUGUUAAAAUUAGGUUUUAACUUAAAUAUUUAAUUUUGACCCUUAAUUGAAUUUUAUUUUAUUUGGAAAUUUUGUCCUAAAUUAAAAUAUUAAUUCAAUUUUAUUAAAGUUGGACUCUAAUAUUAUAUUAAUUAAAAUUUGAUUUCAAUUAAUACCACUUCCCAAUGCAAAUUAAAAUUUAGAGUAUGACUCUAAUUUAAUAAUUAAUUAAAAUUCGAUUUUGAUUAAAUUACUUCGCCGAAUAGUUAUGGAAUUAGAGUUGGACUCUAAUUCGGGAUUUAGUUAAAAUUUGAUUUUAAUUAAAUUGGCUCGCCAAUUAAGUUAAUUAAUUAAUAUGAUUAAUUAAUUAUUUAAUUAUCUCGAUCCAAAAUUUUGAAUUUGUUUUGAUGACUAUAAUUGCUAGAUUUAUGAGACUUUAUAUAUAAUAUUAGAUAUUAUACAUAAGAAAUAUUUAUGUGAUGAAUGUUUAUGGAUGAUUAUGGACUCGACCAUGUGGAUGUGUUGAAUGAUUGAUUUACUUCUUUUUGUUUUAUCGGCCUGGGAGUCCGUUGUUAUUAUUGUUGUUAUAGGCCUGCGAGCUCUUUAUUAUAUUGGACCUGGGAGUCCGUUGUUAUUGUUAUUAUUAUGGGCAUGCGAGUCCGUUUUCUUUUAGGCUUGCGUGUCAAUUAGUAUAGGAUACAUGUUGCAGUUUGACUAAUUGGAGGCACAAGAAGAGGUGGACACCAUGAAGAUGGUGCUUUCUGUUGAUCCAAUGUUGUAUCCCUUAGGAAUUGACCAACUAGUUUUCCUUUUAGUUCGGGAAAACUAAAUAGAACAAGUCCAUAAUCAUCCAUGCUAUUACUUAUAUAUAUAUAUUUAUUCGCAUAUUAGAUAUGUGUGUGUGUGUGUGUGUAUACACACACACACACACACACACACACACACAUAUAAUAACUUGAUGAGACUAUUGCACGUUAAAUUCCUCGUUAAAAAUAUUAAGUUAGUAUUAUUUGCCUUUUAUCAUUAUAGUGUAAAACGAGAAUCUUAAAUUGACUUUAGCUUGUUCAGUAUACUCAAGGCUGGUCUAUUAGGGAUAUGUUUGACACUAUGAAAUAUUUGAUAUUUCUGAAUGAUGGGUUUGAUUUAACUAAAAUUUAUCUUUUGUUGAGUACACUCAAGGAGAUAAGUUUUAGAGGCAUGUUAAGCUAACAUAUAACAUGUGUGAAGACAAAAGAGUUGUCAGCUUAAUGAUCUGGAAGUUAUAUGGAGAUACAAUUGAUAAUAAUAUCUACCCAAAUGUUUUAUUAGGAUUUGUUGAGUACACUCAAGAUCUUGAUACAAUGAAUGGGAUCCCAGCCCACUGAGAAUCAAAUGUGGAUUCAAAUAAUUUAUGUAUGAGGGUCAUGAAUUUAUUUUAAAUAGUGGGAGCACGUUUAAUUAAAGUCCAUAUUGAAUUUAUGCAUAUGCAUUAUAAUACAUAUUAAUUCUAUGUUUUUCGUCAUUUACAGUUUUUGAAUCAUGAGUAAUCAUAUAAAUUUGAGAGGCAUACUGGAUGCCAACAAACUGACUGGACCAAAUUUUCUCGAUUAGCACCACAAUUUGAGAAUCAUUCUCAAGCAUGAGAAAAUUAGAUAUGUCCUUGAGUAGCCCUUUCCAGUGGUGCCUACUAAAAAUUCCAUUCAGGAAGAGGUGGCUGCUUACAACAAACAUAGUGACGACAAUAAUACUACAGCAUGUGUGAUGCUUGCAGCUAUGUCACCUGAGUUGCAGAAACAGCAUGAGGGUAUGGAUGCUUACACUAUGAUUUUUCAUCUCAAGAAAUUGUAUAAUGAACAAUCUCGUGUGGAGAGGUAUGAGACCUUUAAACAACUAUACCGGUGCAAAAUGGUAGAGGGAUCUUCAGUCAGUGCUCAUAUGCUGAAAAUGAUUGGUUUCAUUGAAAAACUGGGUUCACUAGGUUUUAUCAUGGAUCAUGAACUAAGUAUUCACUUGGUUUUGCAAUCUCUGCCAGAUAGUUAUUCACAGUUCAUUAUGAAAUUUAAUAUGAAUAAGAUCGAAUGCAUACUCUCUGAGUUGCUUAAUAUGCUUAAAACUGUGGAGCCCAAUGUCAAGGCUAGCACUAGACAUGUCUUAGCUAUUCAUUCAUCCAAGGACACUAAGAGGAAAAUCAAAGGAAGUUUUAAAAAAACAUCCAAAAAGGUUAAGGGCAAUAACAAAGCAGGCAAGGACAAUACCAAAUCUGAUGACCCAUGCUAUCACUGUGGAGUGAAAGGUCAUUGGAAGAGGAACUGCAAGGCUUACCUUGCUAGUUUGAAGGGAAAGAAGUCUUCUGAAAUUUCUACUUCAGGUAUUUUUGUUAUCGAGGUUAAUAUGUCUACUGCAUUAGCUUCUUGGGUAUUAGAUACCGGAUGUGGAUCUCAUAUUUGUAUAAAUAUGCAGGGACUAAAGAGAAGUAGACCACUGCAGAAAAGAGAAGUUGACCUGCGCGUGGAAAAUGUAGCAAGAGUUACUGCAUUAGCUGUAGGGACAUACUUCUUACCACUGCCUUCGGGCUUAGUAUUAGCAUUAGAAAAUUGCUAUUUUGUUCCCACCAUUACUAAAAACAUUAUUUCUAUUUCGUGUUUGGACAUGAAUAGUUUUUCAAUUGAUGUUAAGAACAAUCGUUGUUCAUUUUAUAAAGAUGAGAUCUUUUAUGUUGUGGUGUGUUGCAAAAUGGAAUUUAUAUUCUUAAUACUGAGUCGUCUAUUAUGAAUAUAGAAAAUAAAAGGUAUAAAAGUGAUAAUCUAAAUAAUACAUAUCUCUGACAUUGCAGAUUGGGUCAUAUUAACGACAAACGCAUUUCUAAGUUACAUAAAGAUGGAUACUUGGGGUCAACUAAUUUUGAAUCAUUUGACAAAUGCGAGUCGUGCCUGUUAGGCAAAAUGACCAAGUUUCCUUUUACUGGAAAAGGAGAAAGAACCACAGAAUUGCUGGGACUAAUACAUACUGAUGUAUGUGGACCCAUGUCAAUAACUGCCAGAGGUGUUUUCUCUUACUUCAUUACAUUCACUGAUAAUCAUUCUAGAUAUGUUUAUGUGUGUAUGAUGAAAUUCAAGCAUGAAGCACUUGAAAAGUUCAAGAAAUUCAAACUUGAAGUAUAGAAACAGACUAGUAAAAAUAUUCUCAUGCUGAGAUCAGAUCGAGGUAGAGAAUAUUUAAAGUGAGAAUUUUUAGAUUAUCUUAAAGAGAAUGGGAUUCUCUCGUAGUGGACUCUGCCAUAUACACCGCAACAUAAUGGUGUAUCUGAACGGAGGAAUCGCACUUUGUUAGACAUGGUGCGAUCUAUAAUGAGCCAUGCAAACAUCCCAAAAUCAUUUUGGGGUCAUACACUAAUUGCUGUGUGCUACACAUUUAAUCGUAUCCCAUCUAAACCAGUCCACAAAACUCCAUACGAGCUAUGGAGAGGAAAAAGACCAAACUUAUCUCAUAUGAAAGUUUGGAGCUGUGACGCUUAUGUAAAGCAAAAUGAAUCAGAUAAGCUUGAGGCUAAAUCUGACAAAUGCGUAUUUGUGGGAUAUCCAAAAGAGAUAAUUGGAUAUCAGUUUUAUAAUCCCGUUGAGAAAAAGGUGUUCAUCUCAAGGCAUGCCAUAUUCCUAGAGAAAGAGUUUAUUCUAGUAGAGGGUAGCGGGAGCAAACUAGAACUUGAAGAAGUUCAAGAAUUCAUAGAUACUGUUGACCAAUUAGAUGAACCUGAGUCUGAUCCUACACCUGUUGACGAACAGACUCUUGAUCAGGAUGUAGAGAACUCUGAGGACACUCCAGCUCAGCGUAAAUCAAGUAGGAUCAUUCGAUCUCCCAGAAGGUACGGAUUCACCAUUACUAAUAAAGUAUUAUUAUUCGAGGAUGAUGAACUUACAAAUUACGCAGAAGCGAAGUCAAGUGUUGACUCGAAGAGAUGGCAAGAAGCCAUGGAAUCCGAAAUUAACUCAAUGUAUGAGAACAAUAUUUGGGCCUUGGUUGACCUUCCAGGUGGGAUAAAAUCGAUAGGUUGUAAAUGGGUUUACAAGAAAAAGGUCGAUGUAGAUGGAAACGUCCAUACAUACAAAGCAACGCUAGUAGCGAAGGGUUACACACAAAGACAAGGUGUUGACUUUGAUGAAACUUUUUCGUCUGUAGCCAUGCUAAAGUCCAUUCGGAUUUUGCUUGCAAUAGCUACAUACCAUGAUUAUGAGAUAUGACAAAUGGAUAUCAAAACUGCUUUCCUUAAUGGAAACUUACAAGAGGAGGUGUACAUGACACAGCCUGAAAGUUUUGAAUCCAAAGGAGCCAACAAAGUAUGUAAGCUAAAUCAAUCCAUUUAUGGAUUAAAGCAAGUCUCAGGAGUUGGAAUCUUCGUUUUGAUGAAACAAUCAAAAGAUUUGAUUUUAUCAAAAAUGAAGAUGAACCGUGUGUUUACAAGAAGACAAGUGGGAGCGCGGUCGUAUUCCUAAUAUUAUAUGUCGAUGACAUAUUAUUAAUGGGAAACGACAUCUCAAUGCUUCAAUCGGUAAAAUUAUGGUUGUCAAAGAAUUUCUCCAUGAAAGAUAUGGAAGAAGCAGCGUAUAUCUUGGGAAUCAAGAUCUAUAGAGAUAGAUCUAAAAGAUUACUAGGCUUAUCCCAAUCUUCGUACAUAGAUAAAAUCUUGAGAAGAUUUAAUAUGGAAGAGUCUAAAAGAGGUUUAUGUCCCAUGUCGCAUGGGAUUUACCUCUCAAAAGAUAUGUGUCUUAAAACACAUGAUGAAAGGAGUCACAUGGAUAAGAUUCCUUAUGCUUCGGCGAUAGGAUCUAUCAUGUAUGCGAUGCUAUGUACGAGACCAGAUGUUUCAUAUGCUCUAAGUGUUACGAGCAAGUUUCAAGGAAACCCUGGUGAGAAACACUGGAUAGCAGUUAAGAACAUUCUUAAGUAUUUGAGAAGGACUAAAGAUGUGUUCUUGAUCUAUGGAGGAAAUGAACUAAAAAUUCAUGGGUAUACUGAUGCCAGCUUUCAAACUGACAAAGAUGAUAGCAAGUCUCAAUUAGGAUAUAUGUUUACUCUCAACAAUGGAGCGGUUACUUGGAAAAGUUCCAAACAGGAGACAACCUCUAAUUCAACAACAGAAGCCGAGUACAUUGCUGCUUCUGAAGCAACGAAGGGAACUGUCUAGAUUAAGAAGUUCAUUAAUCAACUUGGAGUCGUUCCUAGUAUUGUUGAUCCCAUACCUUUGUAUAGUGAUAACAAUGGAGCCAUCGCACAAGCAAAGGAACCGAGGUCUCAUCAACGAUCCAAACAUGUGCUAAGGCGAUAUCAUCUCAUCAAGGAGAUUAUACAAACAAAUGACAUAACGAUAGAGCGAGUUCCGACAGAAGACGAUAUUGUAGAUCCACUGACAAAGCCAUUGUCACAACAAAAACAUGAUCAUUAUGUGGACGCUUAUGGUAUUAGAUACAUGAAUGAUUGGAUCUAGUGCAAGUGAGAGUUUGUAAGUGUUAUGCCCUAGAUCUAAUCUAUGUAGGUUGUAAACACUUUUAAUAUGUUUAAUGCAUUUAAUUUUGGCGAGAUCUAUUAUUUAUUUAAAUUAAUUUUGUGAUAAAUAAUAGAAUCCGAAGAUCCAAGUUUAAGUGAUUUGUUAAUCACAAAGAGUUGUGAUUGUGAGAUACAAAUUACAUAUAAUUGGAUUUUGAAUAAACCGUGGUCGUAAGUAAUAACGAGAUACGGAUAUCGUUAAUACAGUUAGACCAUCACGUGUGGCAUUUCUUACUUGUGAAGUAAGUAGCUGAUCUCACGAGUUAAAGUGUGGUGACAAUUAAAUGAACACGUGGAUGUUUUGUCAUAGAACAAAACAUUGGAGACCCGCUGAGAGAUUCCACAUGGAUAACUAUCUGAGUGCCAGUGGUUAAUCUCUAACGUUCGAUAGUGGAAUUGGUCCUAUAACUUGAGGUCAUCAUAGUGCUUUGUAUGAGGGCAGUCAUACUUUGACGGUGUUGAAUGUUGCUCUGCCAAUGGCCGCUAAUACGACAUCGUUCGGGUAUGUCAAGAACCAUAUGAAGGUUGUGAAUGACCAAUAGAGGAUUCGUCACUCUUAGAUAGUAAGAGAUUAUGAUCUGCAUUUCGUUCAAUUAAGUCAAUAACGAAAUCCUUGGCCAAGGUAUACAUAUAAGUCGAAAAUGAGUUUUCGACUCAUAUUGACUUAAUAGUAGAAUGAAAGAUAUGAUCGAUAAUCGAGAUUGACACACUUCCAUAUCUCGUAGUUGAUCGGAUCAUAUUGACGAAGGGAUUAUAAUUUCAUGGUAAACGAACAGUUUUGGUUUUGUCAUACCACGUGACAUUUCCCAUUACAUGUGUUGCCCUGAUACAUUGUUAGAUGUUAAUCUGGGACGGCGAGUGUGAAUUUGUGAUAAAUUAAAAGGGUGUUUAAUUUAUCAAUUUUGAUUAAAUCAAAAUAAUAUUUCACGUCGUUAGGCAUCGUGGUCGGGAACCUAAUGGAUUGCACACAAAGGAGAAUUGGAAGAUUGUAAAUUGCCAAUUGAUUAAUUUAACAAUCGUUGGAUAAAUUAAUUAAUUGAAUUUGUUAUUUAUAUUCUCGAAUUAAUUAAUUGGAUUAAUUAAUUCACGGACCGGUUUAAUUAAAUGGAUUAAUUAAACAUUGGACCGGAUCGGAUCGAGCCCGUUUGGGUUUAUAUAAAUACAUGACUAGGGUUUGAGGUCCAUAAGGUUUUCAUUAUUCUUGCUGGCACAAGAGGAAAAACCCUACCAGUUGCAGUCUAUUCUCUGUGUGGAUUUCAUUGGAGGCUGAACAAUUGGACAGUUGUGGGAGGCAGAUUCAAGCUGUUGGAAAGGAAUAACGCGAAGGAGUUUGCAAAAUCAAGAACAGGUAUAUUUCUUAUCACAGUUCUUAUCUAAAUACAAAGUUGAAUCCUGAAUGGGAAUUGAAAUUUGUUUAAUUCCGCUGUGCAUGUUUAAAUAAAUUCCCAACAAUUUUUAUAUACAUUUAAUUAAGUAAAUAAAAAAUAUACUUAAAAUGUAUGUAUAUAAAACACAAAUAUGCGGUGUAACAAAAGAUUUGUGUGGUGGCAAUAUAUUCAUCCAUAGUUAAAACAAUCAAGGAAGAGGUUCGAAUAGGUUUUCAUCAAUUUCAAAUUUUAUGCCGAAGGAUAUUCAUUUCAAAUUAAUUUAAACCUUAAUUCGGACUUAGGAGUGAUUUCAAACCAGAAGUAUUGCAUAGAAUUUGAUUGGAUAAGCAUGCUGAUUGUUCUUAAUUGAUUUUAAGAGAAUUUUAAAAAGUUAAUGUUAUUUGACCAGUUAGUCAAGCCGAAUAAAACAUUCGUUAAACCUAAACUAAUUAAGAUUAGAAACGACGAAUUUAACAUGGUAAACUCAGUCUUACAGACUAGAAAUAAAAAUCACAGCAUCUCUUUGAAAAUUGAUUAGGAGAAACUCAGAAGAAACAAGAAUAAAUAUUCGAGUUAUAUUAAUCAUAAUAUAUAUGUUUGGCUGAGAUCAAAAAGUUUACUUGUAAGUAUGUAUUUUUGUUAAAAUUAUUUUCGCUUAAUUUGGUUAUACUUGCAAAUAUGUAAUUUCAAUGUCUGGAUAAUGAAAUAAAACGUUAUUUCAAGGAGAGCAUAUUUUUAUUUAAAAAUAUGUUAAAGAAAAGUUUAGAGAUAAAAGUAAACUUAACUUCAUAAUGAGAAAAUUCAGAACUGAUCCAGUUUCUGGCAUUCAGAGAUAUUGACAUCAAAUAAGCUAUUGUAUUAUUUGACUCCAAUAGUUCCUAAUAUUAUAUUAUUUGUAAUGGUAUUAUUCAAGUAUUAAAUAUUCAAUUUGGAUUCUGGGAACCCUACAAAUUGGACUAUGUUGAUAGAAAAAAGCUAAGAUGCAUCCUGAGAAAUAAUAAUUUUUUUCUUAUUCAUGGCCUUUGAAUGAAAGGCAAUAGAAUGCAUAGAUUUUGCAAAUGGAAUGGAUAGUCAAUAAUGGCGUACUAUGUUAUAGAUAACGCCAAUAUGCAAUAACAUGAUGAUAGAACUUAAACCACUUGUUAUGAAUAUUAAAGACAAGAAAUAUGGGCCCCAGGGCACAUUUUCAAGUGGUAAAAGGGGAGAGUGGAGAAAUCCAAUUUUGCUUGAGGUUGUUGCGUCAAGGGUUCGAAUCCUGAAAUAUGGAUUUGGCUCUUGGGUAAGUGCAAGUGUACAAGCAGCCUUUCACCCUUUACCCUUGGAGGCAUAACCUGCGAUUUACCUCCCUCACGAUACUCCAGGACAGGGGUGGUGGGGGACCCUUAAAGUUAGGGUUUAACCUUUUAAAGACAAGAAAUAUGGACAACAUAAAAAUAAUGAAUCACAUAAGAUUUAUGCACAAACCCAAAUUCGGGAAUACCACGAGCAGAGAGAUGAAAAAUUUACUAUAAUCAAUAGCAAUGAAAUACAAAAGGAGGUCCAUGUGACAAAUUAAAAUUUUCUCAAAUAAACAUAAAAAAAAAAAAUGAAACAGCUUCAUGAUGGGCUCUAAAGAAAUUCUAGACAUGGCUAAAAGUUCUCAUGUUCAAAUAUAUUCACAUCAAUUAGGCCGGCUGUGGGGUAUUGUAUUUAAAUCUAAACUAGUAGAUAUAAAUGUAGAAGCUGUACAAUUUUGAUGAUUAAAGCUCCAACGAGACAGUCCACUAAAAAUAUUUUCUUAUUCAUAGCAGACUUGGGAAAAUAGCAAAAGAAUAAAUUGAUUAUAAACAGAAAAUGUAUCGUCAAUAAUGGCGUGCUAAAAUAUUAAAUUUUAAACUGUAGUUUAGCUAUAAUAUUAAAAUGAUGUUAUCCACAACACCACCGCUAUAUGUACCAUGUUCAGCUUCUGUAUUCUGCACAGCUCUACACUUCUUUUCUGUUGUAAUUCACUCCAAGUUUUCAACGAGUCUUCAUAGGUUAUACUAUUCAAGGUAAAUAUGGGUAUCUCCAACUAUUUCCAUGAACUCAAAACUAAUGUUUCUCCCAAGAGGCUGUUCAAGGCUUUGAUCACCGAUAACCACGAUGUUUUGCCGAAAGUCUCCCCAUCCAUCAAGAGCAUUGAGACAAUUGAAGGAGAUGGUGGUGCUGGAAGUGUCAAAAAGACAAACUUUUCUGAAUCUGAAGGUUAGUCCAAAUAUUAAAAUCGCGAAAAAAGAAUGAGAACGUAAUAUUUUGUACAUAUGCAGUACUAUUGAUUAUAGCAAUAGAAUAAAUUGAUUUCCAGAUUUAUUAGAAAGAACUGUACUCAACAAAAUUGAACAGAGCACGUACCUUUGUGAUUUUGGAAGUUUAGAACAUGCAGCAAAAUGAUUAGAACGUUGGAUACAAAGUAAUGAAGAUGUCAGGCUCUUCAGACCAUAUUAUUAUUAUUUUGAAACCUCAGACCACAUUAUUAUACUAUCAAAUGCUCGAUUAGGAAUGAAAAAAAUUUGCACCCUGCGCUGCCUGCAUAGUCCUGCAGUAGAAAAUUCGCGCCCCAAAUGGUAAACGGGACAAAAAAUAGGAAACAUGGUCCCCAUCCCAAAAACUUUUUAUGAAAUUGUUUCAACCAUCGCAUUUCAAUUUAUAAUGUUACAAAGUCUCCUUGCUUUCUCAUUCUCCUUUUAAUAUCCGAAAUAUAGAAUAAAAUAGGCACAAAAUAUAAGAGUCUAUAUUCGACUAAAAAAUUUCAGUUUCUGCAAAGGGAUGUGAAAUUUAAUACUGACAUAGUAACAACUUCUAAAAAAAAGGAAAAUAUUGAAAUAAUUCUACUCAAAAGCCCAUUGGUUCUCUCUUCGGAUCUCCUCUUCUUCUUCCGGAGUGAAGUCAUUUAUUAUGUUGAAUAACUUGCGGAUCUCCUCUGGCGUUUUUCCCUUAAUCAUGUCUGCAACAGUUUGGCAAGUAAGAUCCAGAAGACUCUUGAUAUUCAGAUAGUUUGCAGCCUGAAAAAUCAGAUGGUGAAAAGGAUUAGUUAAUGCCAUGAGAAGCAGUAAUUCGGAUUUGGUGUAAUAGAAUUCAACGAUAGUACAUAACACGCAAUUCAUAACCAAAUCUAUGCAAUUCUGUAAAAUUAUCACAAACAGCAAUAUCAAUAGCCACAGUUAUAAUAGGCUUAACUAUUGAUAUGAUGAAACCAAUUUCAAUUUAACAAAACCCUAACGCACAAUUCAUAACAGAAUCCAUUUAUAAACCCUAAAAGACCACUUAUAAAAACAUCUACACAUAAUUCUGCGAAAUUAGUACAAAACAGCACUAGCAAUGGCAACAACAACAAUGAUAAAAGCAAUUCUCGACAUGAUCAAACCAAUUUCAGCCUAGUAAAGCCCUGACGCACAAUUCACAACGGAAUCCACCAUAAUCCUACAAACGCAGAAUCAACAAGGGAAAAAUCAAAGAGUAUACCAUAAUAAGGUCGAAGAGUAUGGCCUGAUCGACUUUGACAAAUUCGGAGUCGAAAGCCUUGAGGUCGUUCUCUGCGACCACGUCGUUGGCAUUGGCGGCAGCGGCUUCAGCAUGCUUCUUACAGUAUACAAUGAUCAUGGACAGGAUCUUUCCGGUAACAUUGGGAACUGGGAUGGCGCUAUCGGCGCAGUCGUCCUCGAUCAUAUGUCUGAUGGUCAGAGACUCCAGCGCCACCAACUCCUCCACCUCGAAAACCUCGCCGUCAGAGCUUUUCAGCGUAAUCUUCUUACCCUCGUUCGACAUCGUUUCGCUUUGAGUUGUUGACGUGUUUGGUAAGGCUUAUUAGACGCAAAACGAAAGCGAUAAACAGAGAUGAGUUGAGAUUUGCAGGGUGCGGCGCAAUAUUUAUAGAGAGAGAGGAGAAUAUGGAAAAAGGAAAAUAUUGAAAGCAACGGCUGGGAUUUAUCGUGGAAAGUUGGAAACAAUUUGGAAAUUUUGGAUGCGGCGGUUUGGAUCCAUAGUCAGUGACUAUAAUUAAUUAUUCGUUACUCUAAAAAAUUAUUUUUACUUGAAAAUAAAAAAAAAAAAAAAAAAAAUAGAGACAGAGAACAUAGGCAUAAAACUACUUUUUUUUUUCACACUCGACCAGAUAAAACAUGUCCGAAGUUUUGUUCGUUAUUCAUAAUCUCAUAAGCAUCUACGUUAUAUGCCAGAGGGUUACUUCAAACACAUGAAGACCAGAGUUGACUUUCUAGACAAAGAAAACUACGUGGGCAAGUUCACUUUGGUUGAGGGAGACGCACUUGGUCACGAGCUUGAAAAGGUAUGUUAUGAGAUGAAAUUUGAGGACACAAAAGGAUGGAGGAUGUGUUCUCAAGAUCUCCAGUGAGUAUCAUUCCAAGGGUGAUGUUAUACUUAAAGAAGAGGAUAUUAAAGCAACCUUGGAACAUACCAUGGGACUCUACAAGUCUUGUGCGGAUUACCUGAUUGCCAAUCCUCAUAUUUGUGUCUAAAUAAUUUCCAAUUAUGUUUCUUAUUUUCUAUAUUUCCUUAAUAAAGAACUUUGUUCUACUCUUCCAUUGAAGUUUGUUCUUAUCCAACUGUCAUCAAAAUUUACGGUACAACAUUAAGAUGCAAUUUUAGCAAAGUUCCAGUCUUUGCCUUAAUAAAACAGAUUUGUUUGUUUAUUU